rnacentral:rRNA from 1 species
UACGAGGGGGGCGAGCGUUGUUCGGAAUUACUGGGCGUAAAGGGCGCGCAGGCGGCCUUAGAAGUCAGAUGUGAAAGCCCCGGGCUCAACCUGGGAAUGGCAUUUGAUACUCUGAGGCUGGAGUACAGGAGAGGAGAGUGGAAUUCCCAGUGUAGAGGUGAAAUUCGUAGAUAUUGGGAAGAACACCGGUGGCGAAGGCGGCUCUCUGGACCGUAACUGACGCUGAGGCGCGAAAGCGUGGGGAGCAAACAGG